rnacentral:rRNA from 21 species
ACGGUGUGAUUCAUGACUGGGGUGAAGUCGUAACAAGGUAACCGUAGGGGAACCUGCGGUUGGAUCACCUCCUUACGAA